UUUUAAAUUUGUCUAUUACUUCUGUGGGGGUAUAAUAUCAGAAUGCUGUAGUGGUGAUCGACUCAUACUUGAUCUUUGCAAUCGCUGAAUCGUGGCAAACGACUUUUCAAAGGGAGAGAGGUGGGCUACGGGCCUCCCUGCCCUCCUUACCAAGUUUCAGGGUACACCGUUUUCCCACCAGGAACAAUUUGCUCAAAGCUGUGCGGCUGGAGAAAAAACACACCAGGCGUCGUUAGUGCCGAGAAAGUGUACGUCAAAUGUUGGGUACCCAGCCCCUCUGCGUCCCCUGGGAGCGGGCGGCGGGCGCCCGGGCACCUCUGCUGCACGGAGCCGCGUUGCUUUGGGGUGGGAAAGCAACAGCUUUUGUGCUUACACCCCCUGCCGAGGGUGGGGAUACCCAGGCUGAGCCCUGCUGUGAUGGCUGCACCCAGACGCCGUGUCGUCGCCGAAGGGUCGAGCCACGCGAGUCGCACCGACGUUAUCCUCAUUCAGACAGAAGAGGGUACAAAGUACUCGAGUGUGAGCUGGGCGGCUGGGUUUUCAGUGGAACUGCACUCCUCUGGGCACGUGCCUGCCUUUUGUGGGGGUAUUUCCACGGUUUCUCUGUGCUAUCAGAACCGUCCUAUGGUUCAUAGAAUCACAGAACGGGUUGGGUUGGAAGGGACCUUUAAAGGUCAUCUAGUCCAACCCCCCCUGCAAUGAGCAGGGACAUCUUCAACUAGAUCAGGUUGCUCAGAGCCUCGUCCAGCCUGACCUGGAAUGUUUCCAGGGAUGGGGCAUCUAUCACCUCUCUGGGCAACCUGUGCCAGGGUUUUACCACCCUCAUUGUAAAAAAUGUUUUCCUGCCAACAUGGUUCUACUUCUGGUUUUCCCCUUAAUUUUACAUCCUCUUUGUUCCUAGACGUGUAGGUCUGAACUCCAGAAGCCCCUUAGCACAUACUUCUGCAUGUUCGCAGCGAGGAUCCCAGAUGGGAUGCUUGCCUGAAUCGGGACUAAAACUUGUGACAUACUCGGAGGUCCCUUAGAGUGAAAUUCUUGUGGUUAUCUAUAAUGGGCAUAUUUUGUGAGAAAGAACUUUUUUUCUUCUACAGAUAUACACAUAGAGCUGGUUCACGUAACAGCUUACCUAAAAAUUAAUGAAUUUAAACUGAGAGAUAGUAAGGAAAGUAUAAGCACAGUUAAUUACCGGGGAGCCCUUCCCUGUUAAAGCAGCUCAUACACAGAUGUGUAACAGUGUAGUUAAUAUCAUUACAUAUUUAAAUACUUCAUGGAAGGCUGGGUUUAUAGAGAAGGCUAAUUUCUUCUGACAAUGAAUCAUAGCAAUAAGCCUAUAGAUGUGAUGAAUUUAGUAAUGAGAUUAAGGUUUCAUUCCCAUCCCUGUAUUGACAAAUUUGUCUUAAUUUUUUCCUACAACUUUUUCCUUGGAGUUCUAUGACACUGUAUAAUGUAACAACAUAUAUUCACAUUCCUCCAUGCCUUUUAAUUUGUGUUUGUUCCAAUUUCUUGUACCUUGUAUCUCUGAGCUUUACAAACUUACAAAAAAAUCUCAGAUGUGAUUUGUUUGCAUUCAUUUGAAAUAAUGAGAAGAAUGAAUACACACGAGUAUCAGUUAGAGUGGUCUUAUUAAGCAAAUCCAAUUCAUUUCUUUAUCGAAGCUGUUUAUUCACUCCUUGCCACAUGCAAAAGCCACUAGCAAGAGCAGAUAUUACAUAGUUUUGUCACUGGACAAUAGCUUUGUGUUUAGAGUUCAUAUACAAAAACAGUUGAAAAAUAUUGUUUUGGAUGAAAAGAAAGGUUUUUAAACAUAAAAAAAUUUGAGACAAUUUCCUUUCACUUAAAAUUUCCUAGGUUUUGAAGGCAUGCCUGAAAGACAAACCUGGACACUUAUGAUGCAACUUUUUUCAUUUUUAACCAGUUUCCUCUCCCUCUCCCUGAUAAAGGAAGAUGUGAGUUUUGGUUUUCCACAAAGUGUAUGCCACAAGAGAUUUCUCAACAAAAAUCUCAACAGCUCUUUUCUGCUGACUUUCCUGAUAUGUGAGAUACGUCUCCCUGCGAAUCCUGAGUGAUGGUAACGACAUUUAAAAUGGGAGACGAGUCUUCCCAGGGUCAGAAAACAUUGUGAGCAACAAAAUUUUUCAACUUUGUCUCCCCAUUGAUAAGGUACAUUAAUAUAGCAGCUGCACAGUUAUGUGAUACUUUAAAUAUAUUUAGGUCAUAUAUUUAAGUACUUAAAUACAUUUAAGUUUAAAAUAUGUUUAUGUUAUCUGAAAUAUUUAUGGUUGUAUAUCUUGGCAUUAGCUCUUUAAUUUACGGGUACACUCUUACAAUAUUCAAAGAAGAGACAACCAUUGCAUUUCUUCUUUCCAGAAAGCAGAGCGAAAUAUAGUGUAUUAUGAGAGCCCCAGGCAAACCAGCUUUGCUCCUGGCCCAGCACAGGCUUGUGGACAAUAAAAUGGGAAUAAAAAUGGGCACAGCAGCACCCAUCCCUCAGCCUGUCAGCUGGCAUCAGUCUCUCUCUGGCAUCAAUGCAUUAGGCAAAGGUUGAAGAACCAUCAUGGAUCUCAACAGGACCGUGUAAUUUACAUCACAGUGAUUCAUGUCAACAUAUGGGGAGCCUUAUUAGAACAAAGAGCAGAAGAAAAGUGAUGGAAUAACACAAUGAGAGCAAGAGAUGAAAGGGAGGACAAAUCCAACGUGCAUUACACCAGUCGGUGCCAAUGGGGAAGGUGCAAGCCAUGGCAUGCUCCCUUCCUCUCUUAUGCCCUUUUGUCUCUGCAGUACAUCUGAGCCUACAGUAAGUAACUCCUUUUUGCAUACACCUCUGACAUGCCUAACACAUGUAAAAAUAAAAAAAUCCAACCCAAGUUAGGUACCUUGCAUAUUUAAGUGUGUGUUAAAAUGUUGAGAUUGAAUAUUUUGAUUUAAAAAGACUGAUCUAUUUAGCAUGUUGUCUGAGGGAUCAAAUUCAUUGAAUAAUAUAUAAAAGGAUGGGGAAGAGCCAGAGGUUUCACAGUAAAAUACAGCUACAACGCUGCAGAGGAAAUAAAUGAAUUAACUCCCAGAACAACUCUGCUUGAUCCAGAAAGGGAUCCUUUGAAUUUUGAAUUGAAAUCCUUUAUGAAUGAAUGUAUGUUACAUGUGUUAAAAUAAACUUUGCGCUCA